AUUGCACGCUGGCGGCAGGCCUAACACAUGCAAGUCGAACGGGUGAGUAACGCGUAGGUAACUGCCUAUUAGCGGGGGAUAACUAUUGGAAACGAUAGCUAAUACCGCAUCCUAGUAGAUGGACCUGAGUUGUAUUAGCUAGUAGGUAGGGUAAUGGCCUACCUAGGAGACGGUAAAUCGCCGACCUGAGAGGGUGAUCGGCCACACUGGGAAUGAGGCACGGCCAAGACUCCUACGGGAGGCAGCAGUAGGGAAUCUGCGGCAAUGGGGCGAACCCUGACCGAGCAACGCCGCGUGAGUGAAGAAGGUGUUCGGAUCGUAAAGCUCUGUUGUUAAGGAAGCGGUACUUAACCAGAAAGGGACGGCUAACUACGUGCCAGCAGCCGCGGUAAUUC
rnacentral:rRNA from 1 species